rfam:Arabidopsis lyrata subsp. lyrata unplaced genomic scaffold ARALYscaffold_2, whole genome shotgun sequence.
CUUACAGAGAUCUUUGGCAUUCUGUCCACCUCCUCUCUCUAUAUGUAUAUGUAUGAGCGCUGUCUUGUGAGGGGAGGUGGACAUAUUGCCAACAGAGAUCUGUUAG